rnacentral:ncRNA from 1 species
AUAAAAAAGCGCCAGUGCUUUUACAUUUGUAAAAGCAGACGAGGUGGAGGAAGAUCGAAUUUUCGGCGGAUGCCUCCUAGCUGCGCAUCUCAGCUAUAAAGAACUUUUACAAAACGGAAGAGUGAUUUUUCGGACAAAGAGGGUUUUA